CCGGAGCUUGCUCCACCGGAAAAAGAAGAGUGGCGAACGGGUGAGUAACACGUGGGUAACCUGCCCAUCAGAAGGGGAUAACACUUGGAAACAGGUGCUAAUACCGUAUAACAAUCGAAACCGCAUGGUUUUGAUUUGAAAGGCGCUUUCGGGUGUCGCUGAUGGAUGGACCCGCGGUGCAUUAGCUAGUUGGUGAGGUAACGGCUCACCAAGGCCACGAUGCAUAGCCGACCUGAGAGGGUGAUCGGCCACAUUGGGACUGAGACACGGCCCAAACUCCUACGGGAGGCAGCAGUAGGGAAUCUUCGGCAAUGGACGAAAGUCUGACCGAGCAACGCCGCGUGAGUGAAGAAGGUUUUCGGAUCGUAAAACUCUGUUGUUAGAGAAGAACAAGGAUGAGAGUAACUGUUCAUCCCUUGACGGUAUCUAACCAGAAAGCCACGGCUAACUACGUGCCAGCAGCCGCGGUAAUACGUAGGUGGCAAGCGUUGUCCGGAUUUAUUGGGCGUAAAGCGAGCGCAGGCGGUUUCUUAAGUCUGAUGUGAAAGCCCCCGGCUCAACCGGGGAGGGUCAUUGGAAACUGGGAGACUUGAGUGCAGAAGAGGAGAGUGGAAUUCCAUGUGUAGCGGUGAAAUGCGUAGAUAUAUGGAGGAACACCAGUGGCGAAGGCGGCUCUCUGGUCUGUAACUGACGCUGAGGCUCGAAAGCGUGGGGAGCAACAGGAUUAGAUACCCUGGUAGUCCACGCCGUAAACGAUGAGUGCUAAGUGUUGGAGGGUUUCCGCCCUUCAGUGCUGCAGCUAACGCAUUAAGCACUCCGCCUGGGGAGUACGACCGCAAGGUUGAAACUCAAAGGAAUUGACGGGGGCCCGCACAAGCGGUGGAGCAUGUGGUUUAAUUCGAAGCAACGCGAAGAACCUUACCAGGUCUUGACAUCCUUUGACCACUCUAGAGAUAGAGCUUCCCCUUCGGGGGCAAAGUGACAGGUGGUGCAUGGUUGUCGUCAGCUCGUGUCGUGAGAUGUUGGGUUAAGUCCCGCAACGAGCGCAACCCUUAUUGUUAGUUGCCAUCAUUCAGUUGGGCACUCUAGCAAGACUGCCGGUGACAAACCGGAGGAAGGUGGGGAUGACGUCAAAUCAUCAUGCCCCUUAUGACCUGGGCUACACACGUGCUACAAUGGGAAGUACAACGAGUCGCGAAGUCGCGAGGCUAAGCUAAUCUCUUAAAGCUUCUCUCAGUUCGGAUUGUAGGCUGCAACUCGCCUACAUGAAGCCGGAAUCGCUAGUAAUCGCGGAUCAGCACGCCGCGGUGAAUACGUUCCCGGGCCUUGUACACACCGCCCGUCACACCACGAGAGUUUGUAACACCCGAAGUCGGUGAGGUA
rnacentral:rRNA from 1 species